rnacentral:rRNA from 1 species
GAUGAACGCUGGCGGCGUGCCUAAUACAUGCAAGUCGAGCGAAUGGAUUAAGAGCUUGCUCUUAUGAAGUUAGCGGCGGACGGGUGAGUAACACGUGGGUAACCUGCCCAUAAGACUGGGAUAACUCCGGGAAACCGGGGCUAAUACCGGAUAACAUUUUGAACCGCAUGGUUCGAAAUUGAAAGGCGGCUUCGGCUGUCACUUAUGGAUGGACCCGCGUCGCAUUAGCUAGUUGGUGAGGUAACGGCUCACCAAGGCAACGAUGCGUAGCCGACCUGAGAGGGUGAACGGCCACGCUGGGACUGAGACACGGCCCAGGCUCCUACGGGAGGCGGCAGUAGGGAAUCUUCCGCAAUGGACGAAAGUCUGACGGAGCAACGCCGCGUGAGUGAUGAAGGCUUUCGGGUCGUAAAACUCUGUUGUUAGGGAAGAACAAGUGCUAGUUGAAUAAGCUGGCACCUUGACGGUACCUAACCAGAAAGCCACGGCUAACUACGUGCCAGCCGCCGCCGUAA